ACUUGGCUGGCCUGGUCGAAGGGCACGUGACUCUUGAUCUCAGGGUCAUGAGUUCAAGUCCCAUGUUGAGUG
rnacentral:tRNA from 1 species